CUCCUUUCGAAAGGAUGGAAGGUAGGCCCUGCUCGAUGCGGAAACGUGAAUAGCUGCAGUAUUCUGACUGUGCAAAGGUAGCAUAAUAAUUUGGCUUUUGAAUGGAGUCUGGAAUGAAAGGGUUGACUUUCUUUCAUCUGUCUCUCUCUCUUGUUUGUCUGAAUCUAGAGUUUGGGUAAAAAUUCCUAGAUGGAAAAGGGGGACGAAAAGACCCUGUAGAACUUUAUUUGAACGAUUUGUAAUGGAGAGAAUCGGUUCGAAUUUAUCUGGGAAGGAACGAUUAGAAAACGAUCGUAAAUUGCAAAGAUUUCUUCGGAAAGACGAGCCGCUUUCGGGCGAGAGGAGGAAAAAGCUACCUCAGGGAUAACAGCACAAUCUCUCUCUUCAGUCCUUUUGAAGGGAAAGUCUUGUGACCUCGAUGUUGAAUUAAGUUAUCUUCUUCAAGCAAAGAUGAAGAAAAGUGGGUCUGUUCGACCAUUAAAAACUU
rnacentral:rRNA from 1 species